rnacentral:rRNA from 1 species
GUGCCUCGGCGGGAAAGCCUACCCGGUACCUACCUACCCUGUAGACACCCGGGAGCGAGCUACCCUGUAGCCCGCUGCAGGCCCACCCGCCGGUGGACAGUUGAACUCUUGUUUUGUUUUAUGUGGCAUUCUGAAUGAUUAUACUUAAUAAGUUAAAACUUUCAACAACGGAUCUCUUGGUUCUGGCAUCGAUGAAGAACGCAGCGAAAUGCGAUAAGUAAUGUGAAUUGCAGAAUUCAGUGAAUCAUCGAAUCUUUGAACGCACAUUGCGCCCAUUAGUAUUCUAGUGGGCAUGCCUGUUCGAGCGUCAUUUCAACCCUCAAGCCCUAGCUGCUUGGUGUUGGGAGUUUACCUGUGGGUAAUUCCUGAAAUAAAUCGGCGGAGUCGCGGUGACCCCAAGCGUAGUAAUUUUUCCUCGCUUUAGGUGUGUCGGUGCUGACGUUCGGCCGCUAAACCCCUUAUUUUCUAGUGGUUGACCUCGGAUCAGGUAGGGAUACCCGCUGAACUUAAGCAUAUCAAUAAGCGGAGGAGAAACCAACAGGGAUUGCCCCAGUAACG